UGAAAGACAUGGGUAGUGAGAUGUUGGCAUAUCGUACCUCUCACUAUCUUGUCGUUCAUG
rnacentral:pre_miRNA from 1 species